rnacentral:rRNA from 1 species
AACGAACGCUGGCGGCAGGCCUAACACAUGCAAGUCGAACGCCGUAGCGAUACGGAGUGGCAGACGGGUGAGUAACGCGUGGGAACAUACCCCUCGGUUCGGAAUAACUCAGGGAAACUUGAGCUAAUACCGGAUAAGUCCGAGGUUUUAAUUCGACCUUGGAGAAAGAUUUAUCGCCGGAGGAUUGGCCCGCGUCUGAUUAGCUUGUUGGUGAGGUAAUGGCUCACCAAGGCGACGANCAGUAGCUGGUCUGAGAGGAUGAUCAGCCACAUUGGGACUGAGACACGGCCCAAACUCCUACGGGAGGCAGCAGUGGGGAAUUGUUCGCAAUGGGCGCAAGCCUGACGACGCAACGCCGCGUGGAGGAUGAAGGUCUUCGGAUUGUAAACUCCUGUGCUCGGGACGAAAUGCUCCAAUCUAAUAUGUUGGAGUUUGACGGUACCGAGUGAGGAAGCCCCGGCUAACUCUGUGCCAGCCGCCGCGGUAAU